AGUGAACGCUGGCGGUAGGCCUAACACAUGCAAGUCGAACGGCAGCACAGUAAGAGCUUGCUCUUACGGGUGGCGAGUGGCGGACGGGUGAGGAAUACAUCGGAAUCUACUUUUUCGUGGGGGAUAACGUAGGGAAACUUACGCUAAUACCGCAUACGACCUACGGGUGAAAGCAGGGGAUCUUCGGACCUUGCGCGAUUGAAUGAGCCGAUGUCGGAUUAGCUAGUUGGCGGGGUAAAGGCCCACCAAGGCGACGAUCCGUAGCUGGUCUGAGAGGAUGAUCAGCCACACUGGAACUGAGACACGGUCCAGACUCCUACGGGAGGCAGCAGUGGGGAAUAUUGGACAAUGGGCGCAAGCCUGAUCCAGCCAUACCGCGUGGGUGAAGAAGGCCUUUGGGUUGUAAAGCCCUUUUGUUAGGAAAGAAAAGCAGCAGGUUAAUACCCCGCUGUUCUGACGGUACCCAAAGAAUAAGCACCGGCUAACUUCGUG
rnacentral:rRNA from 1 species